GAUUAACGCUAGCGGCAGGCAUAAUACAUGCAAGUUGAACGGCAGCACAGGUAGCAAUACUGGGUGGCGAGUGGCGCACGGGUGCGUAACACGUAUGCAACCUACCCUAUACAGGCGAAUAACCUUUAGAAAUGGGGGCUAAUACGCCGUAGUAUUACAGAUGGGCAUCUAUUUGUAAUUAAAGAUUUAUCGGUAUAGGAUGGGCAUGCGUCCCAUUAGUUAGUUGGUAAGGUAACGGCUUACCAAGACGAUGAUGGGUAGGGGAUCUGAGAGGACUUACCCCCACACUGGUACUGAGACACGGACCAGACUCCUACGGGAGGCAGCAGUAAGGAAUAUUGGGCAAUGGCCGCGAGGCUGACCCAGCCAUGCCGCGUGCAGGAAGACGGCCUUAUGGGUUGUAAACUGCUUUUAUACGGGAAUAAUAGAGUGUACGCGUACAUUUAUGCAAGUAUCGUAUGAAUAAGCAUCGGCUAACUCCGUG
rnacentral:rRNA from 1 species